rnacentral:rRNA from 1 species
GACGAACGCUGGCGGCGUGCUUAACACAUGCAAGUCGAACGGUAAGGCCCUUCGGGGUACACGAGUGGCGAACGGGUGAGUAACACGUGGGUGAUCUGCCCUGCACUUCGGGAUACGCCUGGGAAACUGGGUCUAAUACCGGAUAGGACCACUGCCUGCAUGGGUGGUGGUGGAAAGCUUUUGCGGUGUGGGAUGGGCCCGCGGCCUAUCAGAUUGGUGGUGGGGUGAUGGCCUACCAAGGCGACGACGGGUAGCCGGCCUGAGAGGGGGACCGGCCAAACUGGGACUGAGAUACGGCCCAGACUCCUACGGGAGGCAGCAGUGGGGAAUAUUGCACAAUGGGCGCAAGCCUGAUGCAGCGACGCCGCGUGAGGGAUGACGGCCUUCGGGUUGUAAACCUCUUUCAGCACCGACGAAGCGCAAGUGACGGUAGGUGCAGAAGAAGGACCGGCCAACUACGUGCCAGCCGCCGCGGUAA